UACGGAGGGGACUAGCGUUGUUCGGAAUUACUGGGCGUAAAGCGCACGUAGGCGGAUUUGUAAGUCAGGGGUGAAAUCCCGGGGCUCAACCUCGGAACUGCCUUUGAUACUGCAAAUCUCGAGUCCGGAAGAGGUGAGUGGAAUUCCUAGUGUAGAGGUGAAAUUCGUAGAUAUUAGGAAGAAACACCAGUGGCGAAGGGCGGCUA
rnacentral:rRNA from 1 species